GUUAGGCAUGGUGAUGCAUGCCUAUAAUCCUAGCUACUCUGGAGGCUGAGGUAGGAGGAUGAGAAGGAUCUCAAGUUUGAGGCCAGCCUGGGCUACUUAGACCCUAUGUCAA
rnacentral:sRNA from 1 species